ACAGGUAGUCAAGAUGAGAAUUCUAAGGUGAGCGAGCGAACUCUCGUUAAGGAACUCGGCAAAAUGACCCCGUAACUUCGGGAGAAGGGGUGCUCUUUAGGGUUAACGCCCAGAAGAGCCGCAGUGAAUAGGCCCAAGCGACUGUUUAUCAAAAACACAGGUCUCUGCUAAACCGUAAGGUGAUGUAUAGGGGCUGACGCCUGCCCGGUGCUGGAAGGUUAAGAGGAGUGGUUAGCUUCUGCGAAGCUACGAAUCGAAGCCCCAGUAAACGGCGGCCGUAACUAUAACGGUCCUAAGGUAGCGAAAUUCCUUGUCGGGUAAGUUCCGACCCGCACGAAAGGCGUAACGAUUUGGGCACUGUCUCAACGAGAGACUCGGUGAAAUCAUAGUACCUGUGAAGAUGCAGGUUACCCGCGACAGGACGGAAAGACCCCGUGGAGCUUUACUGUAGCCUGAUAUUGAAAUUCGGCACAGCUUGUACAGGAUAGGUAGGAGCCUUUGAAACGUGAGCGCUAGCUUACGUGGAGGCGCUGGUGGG
rnacentral:rRNA from 1 species